GGGGGUGAAUUGGUCUCGACGGAAAGAGUUGAGCAAAAGGAGCAUGCAGGGAUUGGCGACAGUAUCUCUUUAAAACGCUGUAGCAGACAGAAAUGUCGAAAACAAUGACUUUGCUCUCGCUGCCUAAUUAAGCACAGAGCCGGCGGUAUCAGUGUGGCAGCACGUGCAUUCAUACAGCCGUUAAUUUACGUGCGGGCACUUUAAGCUUCUGUUCGUAGCUUAACUUACCUAACAACCGAACUAGCUUUUAGAAAGAGUGCCUUUUCUCAAUCUAACAGCGAAUUCAAAGAAAAGGAGAAGCAUGUGGCGCCAAUUGUAUUUGCCUUUGCGGACCCGGGUUCGAUUCCCGGCACCUCCACCA
rnacentral:tmRNA from 1 species